rnacentral:lncRNA from 1 species
UCAAUGGCCACUUUCUUAAUAAAAACUUUUCAUAACCUUUAGCUAUUAGGUUUGAGUUAUCCUUGAGGUAGAUGUAAUACUCGCCUAUAUCCUUAGUGAUGGACAAUGAGUCUUCCAUGCUUAUUAUAAGGUUAACCCCUUACUAGCGUGUUGAAGUUAUCCUCACAUGGUGGAUUUGUGGUUUUAGGUUGAGUUUUCUCCCUUGGAUAACAAAAGACCUUGAGGCUUUUGGACCAAUCAAUUCACCAACUCAUUUUGAAAUUUUUACCCCGAACUACGAGGUUUUGAUCCUAAUCUUUUUAAGAUGGUACGUAGGCAAUGGGUUUAUCCAUCCAAAC